GUGAGGAAUAUUGGUCAAUGGACGAGAGUCUGAACCAGCCAAGUCGCGUGAAGGAAGACGGUUCUAUGAAUUGUAAACUUCUUUUGUGCAGGAAUAAAGUGGGUUACGUGUAACCUUUUGUAUGUACUGUACGAAUAAGGAUCGGCUAACUCCGUGCCAGCAGCCGCGGUAAUACGGAGGAUCCGAGCGUUAUCCGGAUUUAUUGGGUUUAAAGGGUGCGUAGGUGGAUUGAUAAGUCAGCGGUGAAAGUUUGCAGCUUAACUGUAAAAUUGCCUUUGGAACUGUCGGUCUUGAGUGCAAAUGAGGUAGGCGGAAGGUGUUGUGUAGCGGUGAAAUGCUUAGAUAUAACACAGAACUCCGAUUGCGAAGGCAGCUUACUGGGAUGCAACUGACACUGAUGCACGAAAGCGUGGGUAUCAAACAGGAUUAGAUACCCUGGUAGUCC
rnacentral:rRNA from 1 species